UUUGUGACUCAUGACUGGGGUGAAGUCGUAACAAGGUAACCGUAGGGGAACCUGCGGUUGGAUCACCUCCUUACCU
rnacentral:rRNA from 1 species